AUGAGGCUGAGAAGGUCGAAGCUGGUACAUUCUGCUGCUGCCUUCCACAUUUAUUCAGCUCCGGUCAGAUGUCUGCCCUGGUCCAAUCACCCAAGGAGAAGUGGAUGUGAUGCUGCGUUGCUCAAAGGAAAUAUCCUGCUGAUUUUGUGGUGAAGGAAUGAGUCUCUAAGCAAAGGAGAUUUUCAUAAGGAGGUCAAACCCAGCACUAAGGCUUACUAAGAGAGAGAAGAAACACAAUGUUGCCAAAAAGAGGAGUCACGAUGGUUAUUGCAGUGUCCUGCUCCAGAAGUUUGAUCAGAUGAACUAAGCAGACUGGCCCAGGGCCUGGCUCAGAUAUGGUCACUCAGGUCAAGGCACAGAAUCCAAGCAGUGUUGCAAGCUUAGAUGAAGUGCAGCUUCCUGUCAUUUAGUCUUAUCAAAAAUACAUGGGGUUGAAAGAGUCUAAAUAGAGGCCUACACAUGGGAGAAAAAGAAAGGGGAAUAACUUCAAUUACUUUGUGACUGGUAGUAAUAAGGAUGCAGAAAGAGGAAGAUGAUGAACUGCUCACUGUUGAUUGUACAAUACCUUUGUAUUUUUGUUUCAAUUUUGAAAACACUCCUUAUUCACUAAUUGCCUAACACACAUAUGCCUUGAAUCCAACAUGGGACUAAAACUUAAAAACAAAAAUAAAAAAACAGAUCGUGUGUUCA
rnacentral:lncRNA from 13 species